AGAGUAUCUGGGGCUGACCCUGGCUCUAGGUCUGGCUGCCUGGGAGUUGGGCACAGAGACUCUUGUCUGGAAAUAGCAGUCCAGCCCAGUCCAGCUCAGCUUUAUGCAAGGCCUGGCCCAGGUCACAAUGAUCUGGGACCUCAAUACAUGCUCCAGGCUGGGCUGUAGAACAUGCGCAGACAGAAAUCCCAUGGAGGCAGAGGCUCCUGCUGGGUGAGGGGAUCGGAAGCUGAAGGGGCUUUUUGAAUAUCUUCACAGAGGCCAGGUCCAGGGGCUCCUGUAGGGACUUAAAACAUGGCCCAUGGGUGGCAUUGACCACACCAGGACAUCCCUUGUGCCCAACCCCUCCUCCCUCUCCACGCUCUGACUCAUAUAUGUGUGUGCUGGCAUGUGGCAGGUACUGCUGGCGCCACCAGCUGCAGGAGUUUCGGAAGCGGUUCCGGGUGGUGGCGCUGGACAUGCGGGGAUACAACGCCUCGGGCGCCCCCAGCGGAGAGAAGAGCUACGAGAUCCCGCUCUUGGUGGAGGAUGUGCGGGAGGUCAUCGAGAUACUGGGUACCAAGGACAAGCAGGGUGAGAACAUGCUGCAGGAGUGGCACAAGUCCUAGAGCAGACCUGGCACUAUGAAACAUGGGAUACAUGCCUUGCCCCCGACACUGAUGCCUCUCCUCCAGCAAAAUGGUGGACGUUGGAAGAAGCUAGUGACUGGGCCAGGCAGGGCUCCUCCAAAGCCAUUGUGGUGGGACACGACUGGGGCGGCGUCCUCGCUUGGGUGUUCGCUGCCCAACACCCUGACCUGGUGGAGAAGCUGAUCCUCAUGAACACCAUGUGCUGCUCUGCAUUGAUCGGAGGCCCAUUGUGAAGGAGAAGACUGUGCUGGCACCCACACUGGUGAUCUGGGGGAAGAAGGACGUGUUCCUGGAGGUUGGGCUGCUCACAGUCAUGCAGCGGUACUUCAACUGUGGGUGCUGAAUUGAGUGCCUCCCCCAGUGCAGCCACUGGGUGCCUGAGGACCAGCCUGAGAAGGUCAAUCAGCUGAUGUGGGCCUUCCCGCAGGAGAACAGAUGAGGCAGUGCUGCAGCAGGGGUGGGGCCUGGGGCUGGGACCAGGACCCCAUGGCAGAGGCCUGAGCCUGGCCUGGGCCUUGGGGAGGGCAGCGUUCACCUAUUCACCCAGGGUGGUUUGUGCCCAGCUGUGCCUCUCCCUUCUGACCUUCUGGCUGUGUGCCUGGAAAUUCAGUCCCAGACAGACAGCUUGAGAGAACCUGACCUCUCCCCACAUCUCACCCUCCUGGGCCCAUUUGCCAAGGACCCAGGGCAGUGGCUGCAGCAGAAUUCUCCCCAUUCACAGGGUAGCCACCCCCUUUCCCUUCACCCACCAGGAUGGCUCCCUGUGUUCCCUAAGCUUGGCCCUCCUGGGCACAUCCAUACAUGCAGGCACGUACACUUGCAGCAGCUCAAAUAGAAGUGCAAAUUUGAGCCGGGGCUUUUUGCCUCAGUGCACAUGCUCGGACAUGCACUUUGGCGUGGGGCAAAUUGUGCCAUUUGGAGCAAAAUAACCCCGCCUGCCUUCUCCUGGACCUGCAGCCAGGGGGAGCUACAGCCUGGAGCCAGCACCUGUGCUAUCCCUGUCAGUACAAAAAGCCGCCCUGGCAAGUAGCUCAGGACUACUCACUCUCAGGAGAUUCUGGGACCCGGCCAAUUGGUACCUGGGGACACUGCCCCUUGUGCCAGCUGGACUGCUGAAGCAGCCCUGAGAGUUCCCUGUACCUUUUACCCAUUGCAGCAGUCUGGCAGUGGGGGCUGCUGCCCGGCUGUGACCUGCUGCGCACCUGCCACUUGGCCAGGUCAGCCACCUCCAGCUGAGUCCAAGGUGUCAGCUCUGAGCAGGCAGGGUCCUGCCACUGGCCUCCCUAGCAGGAAUUCUGGUGUUCCCUUUUUGAAAACUGAAAAAUCCCUGAUACAAAAACCCCAAAGUCACUCUGUAAAAUACCCCCACAUCCAUCUUCCUCCACAAUUAAAACAAAAGACCACUAUAUAUAUAUAUAUAUAAAGAAAGAGAGAGAGAGAGAGAGAGAGCAAUCAGUUGGGCAGUGUUUUAUUGAUAUAUCUACAGUGUUAAAGCAAUCUGGAAGCCUACCAGUGUCUCUAUCAUCAUAAUAAAGUGAAUUCUAAAUACC